UACGUAGGGUGCAAGCGUUGUCCGGAAUUAUUGGGCGUAAAGAGCUCGUAGGCGGUCUGUCGCGUCUGCUGUGAAAACUCGGGGCUUAACCCCGGGCCUGCAGUGGGUACGGGCAGACUAGAGUGCGGUAGGGGAGACUGGAAUUUCUGGUGUAGCGGUGAAAUGCGCAGAUAUCAGGAGGAACACCGGUGGCGAAGGCGGGUCUCUGGGCCGUAACUGACGCUGAGGAGCGAAAGCGUGGGGAGCGAACAGG
rnacentral:rRNA from 1 species